CAAGUCAUGUGGCGAUCUAGUCGGGUAGUAAGGUUAUUCAAGUCACUUUGGUCAUGUAUCAGCAGCAUAUAGGGAUCUCUUUGGAGGUUUGGAGGAUUCAUUUGUGUUAGGCUUAUGGCUGAGCAGUCCACCAAAUGAAGGUCCAGUUAAUGUCGGUUUUGAAUGGUAAAAAUGAGAUGCACCAGUUCGUUGCUGAAGUCCAAGAAGGUAAAUAGUGCAAUUAAUCCGAAUGAACAGUUAUUGAUUCUCACGCCAGGGUGUGGUCACGGGGACACAUCACUCCCUGUGGCCAGGCUACUGGUGGAUGAAGCGUGCAAGAGUUCUCCUUAGCCAGCUCAUUCAUGCGAACCUGAUAGCGAUCAAUCCUGUCCUGAAGUUUUCUCUCUCGGUUAUCAUAAGAUUGUGAGUUAGCUACUCUGAGCUCUUUGAGUUUGAAACAAGUCAACAACAGUGUUCAGGGUGAGGAUCUGGAGGGUUGGUUUAGUGUGAGUUAAGUAAUGCACACUUGAUAAUCUCACUAUCCCACAUCAGCUGAGUGACGAAAACAAAAAAUGGAGAGUCUGUCUAUAUAAUCAGCGGAUCAAGGAGAGGUAAAGUAUACCUUUCUCGGCCUUUUGGCUAAGAUCAAGUGUAGUAUCUGUUCUUAUCAGUUUAAUAUCUGAUAUGUGAGCCAUCGGCUCACUCGAUAUUAAUCUUAUUUUUUAUGGGGAAAGGCCCACCACAAUAGCUUGCUAUUGGGGUCUUUGAGCGUCGCCUUGGUCUUGCACUACCGCCUUGGCCUGGCGCACCCCUCC